rnacentral:rRNA from 1 species
AUGUCGUCCCGGGAGGAAAUGGACAACGCCAUCACAGCCCUCCACGGACAGAGCUUGGAGGGGCGUGUCAUACGAGUGAGUGUCGUGGGGGUGCCAGGCGUGACUGUAAGCAAGGCGGCUCCAGGGGUAGAAAGUCCUCCUCCCCGUCAUGUUGUUGGGCCUUCAUUCCGGUUGCACGUGAACAACCUGUCGUUGAACAUGGAUGACUCUAGGCUGGCUCAGAUGUUCAGCCAGCACAGCAAAGUGGCCUAUGCUAAGGUUAUCCGUGAUAUCCAUAGCGAGCGCUCAAAGGGAUUCAGUUUCGUAGAAAUGGCGUCGCAGGAGGAUAUGGACAAUGCCAUCACGGCCCUCCACGGACAGAGCUUGGAGGGGCGUGUCAUACGAGUGAGUGCUGCGGAGGAGCAGUCGCCAUCAUGA